rnacentral:rRNA from 1 species
GAUGAACGCUGGCGGCGUGCCUAAUACAUGCAAGUCGAGCGAACAGACGAGGAGCUUGCUCCUCUGACGUUAGCGGCGGACGGGUGAGUAACACGUGGAUACCCUACCUAUAAGACUGGGAUAACUUCGGGACACCGGAGCUAAUACCGGAUAAUAUAUUGCACCGCAUGGUUCAAUAGUGAAAGACGGUUUUGCUGUCACUUAUAGAUGGAUCCGCGCCGCAUUAGCUAGUUGGUAGGGUAACGGCUUACCAAGGCAACGAUGCGUAGCCGACCUGAGAGGGGGAUCGGCCACACUGGAACGUGGACACGGUCCAGACUCCUACGGGAGGCAGCAGUAGGGAAUCUUCCGCAAUGGGCGAAAGUUUGACGGAGCAACGCCGCGUGAGUGAUGAAGGUCUUCGGAGCGGAAAACUCUGUUAUUAGGGAAGAACAAAUGUGUAAGUAACUAUGCACGUCUUGACGGUACCUAAUCAGAAAGCCACGGCUAACUACGUG